rnacentral:sRNA from 1 species
AAAAUAUAUAAAAUGUCAUAUGGAUCGUUGGAUUAGGUUGUCAGCUGCACAAGACAGCAUACUUCUUAUUUGCAGAUGUGAAAGGUGGAGACCUCAAGUAACAUAGUUGAGGAGCUGGGGAGCUGGGUGACCACUGGCAAAGAAGGAUGCUUUCUGUUAUGAGUAGAAGCGAAAAAACAAUAAAAUGGCCCCAACGAGUGCAAACCGAAGAAACCCAAGGAGCAGCAAACCGAGAGCCCAAACGUGGGCCAAGGAAACGGACAAAUGUAAUAGAAAAUUGCCGCAAAA